rnacentral:rRNA from 1 species
AUUGAACGCUGGCGGCAUGCCUUACACAUGCAAGUCGAACGGUAACGCGGGGCAACCUGGCGACGAGUGGCGAACGGGUGAGUAAUGCAUCGGAACGUGCCCAGUUGUGGGGGAUAACUGCCCGAAAGAGCAGCUAAUACCGCAUACGACCUGAGGGUGAAAGCGGGGGAUGGCAAGACCUCGCGCAAUUGGAGCGGCCGAUGUCGGAUUAGCUAGUUGGUGGGGUAAAGGCCCACCAAGGCGACGAUCCGUAGCGGGUCUGAGAGGACGACCAGCCACACUGGGACUGAGACACGGCCCAGACUCCUACGGGAGGCAGCAGUGGGGAAUUUUGGACAAUGGACGCAAGUCUGAUCCAGCCAUGCCGCGUGCGGGAAGAAGGCCUUCGGGUUGUAAACCGCUUUUGUCAGGGAAGAAAUCUUCUGGGUUAAUACCUCGGGAGGAUGACGGUACCUGAAGAAUAAGCACCGGCUAACUACGUGCCAGCCGCCGCAGUAAAAC